rnacentral:lncRNA from 12 species
GAAACUAAAAGCUCAAUUUAGCAUGAUUUAAAAUAAUAUAAGCAAUUGUAACUUUUCUAUUUGACAGGUAAAUACUGCAGUGGAUUUGGUUCCACACAGAAUGCUGGAAGGAGAAAGAAGUGAAGAAAUAAACCACAUUAAUUUCCUGACACUUUCUUUUUCUGAUGAGUAGCAUGAAAUUAUACUGUAGCAUUGUCAUCUGUGUAUGGAAGCAUCUUCAAAGUACAAAUGCUAGGGCUUUACAGAUCCCCUGGACAACCUAUCCUGUGAAAUCAGUCCCCUGGUCACUACAUGGUACAAUCAGUAUUCCAGAAUGAUGCAUUUUUUGAAAAGUUUCUUAGUGAUAUGCUUAGAUCAGCAUUUCUACAUGGACAGACCUCUACCCAUCCUGAGAAAAAGUUUAUGAUUAAGUAAGUAUAUUUGUGGUUUCAUUGUUUGGACAUCUGCAUAAAAUUCUCUUGCAAGUUUACAGAGGAAAUCCAUGUGUCUAGGUGUUCUGUGUCUUUGGUUUUGACCCUUCAUCCGACGUUAUGAACCAAACAAAUUGGACAAGUGCUGCAGUAUUUCUGUGCUCUUACAGAAAAUUUGGGGCAAACCAGGCUUGUUGUAUUGAUGCAAUCACACCCCCUUGUCAGGAUGAGCCACCAGGUGAGUCACACCAGCAAAGUAAGUGAGGAGAAGCUGAGGUGCAACAAGGUGGUUAUCUGGGGAUGGCCAUAAGGAAUCAAGGUGUAACUGGCCCUCCUGGCACAGCCCGGCAAUGUUUUCAUCUCCCAGGGCUGAGUCCUGCAAAACAGUUCUGAAAGAGAAGCAGAUGGUGUCUUCUCUGUAGAAAGGCUGAUGAGAUCAUUUACAGGAGUGUGCCAGCCAGAAAGACACACUGUCCUUCCUGAUUGAUCAAUU